CGGACUACUCGGGUAUCUAAUCCUGUUUGCUACCCACGCUUUCGCUCCUCAGCGUCAGUUAUGUGCCAGAUAGUCGCCUUCGCCACUGAUGUUCCUCCAGAUAUCUACGGAUUUCACUCCUACACCUGGAAUUCCACUAUCCUCUCACACACUCCAGUUUGCCAGUUUCAAAGGCAGUUCCCACGUUGAGCGCGGGGAUUUCACCCUUGACUUGACAUACCGCCUACGAGCGCUUUACGCCCAGUAAUUCCGAUUAACGCUCGCACCCUCCGUAUUACUGCGGCUGCUGGCACGGAGUUAGCCGGUGCUUCCUUUGCAGGUACCGUCCUUCCUCUUCCCUGCUAACAGAGCUUUACAAUCCGAAAACCUUCUUCACUCACGCGGCGUUGCUGCAUCAGGG
rnacentral:misc_RNA from 1 species